rnacentral:snoRNA from 1 species
AAGACUAUACUUUCAGGAAUCAUUUCUAUAGUCUGUUACUAAAUAUAUAUGGACCCAAUGCAGGAGCACCCAGAUACAUAAGG